rnacentral:misc_RNA from 1 species
AACCAUAGAAACCUGCGGAGUACCUGCGGAGGGAUCAUUAACACGUAUCCACGUAUCCACCCCUGUGCACCUGUUUCCUCUCCCUGUGGCUUCACAUGAGUCGGUAAAACGCGUCAGCAUUUUGGAUAGGGCCUUCGGGCCGGUGCUGCGCGUACAAUAGAGGCAUUCGUGCCUCUGACGAUUGAAGUGAACUCGCAGGCAAACUGCUCACUACAAAAGCCUCUAUCCAAGGUGGACGUA